UGUAUAGGUAAUAUGCCUCUUACUAAGGGAUAACAAAUGGAAACGUUUGCUAAUACCUUAUACUCCUUAUUAACAGAAGUUAAUAAGGGAAAGAUUUAUUGGUAAGAGAUUAGCCUGUAUUGUAUCAGUUAGUUGGUGGGGUAAUGGCUUACCAAGACUAUGACACAUAACUGGUUUGAGAGGAUGAUCAGUCACACUGGAACUGAGACACGGUCCAGACUCCUACGGGAGGCAGCAGUGGGGAAUAUUGCACAAUGGACGAAAGUCUGAUGCAGCAACGCCGCGUGGAGGAUGACACAUUUCGGUGCGUAAACUCCUUUUAUAUGAGAAGAUAAUGACGGUAUUAUAUGAAUAAGCACCGGCUAACUCCGUG
rnacentral:rRNA from 1 species